rnacentral:tRNA from 1 species
GGAGAGAUGGCCGAGUGGUUGAAGGCGCGCGUCUCGAAAACGCGUAGGCGAUGAGCCUCCUGGGUUCGAAUCCCAGUCUCUCCGCCG